rnacentral:rRNA from 1 species
AACGAACGCUGGCGGCAUGCCUAACACAUGCAAGUCGAACGAGACCUUCGGGUCUAGUGGCGCACGGGUGCGUAACGCGUGGGAACCUGCCCUUAGGUUCGGAAUAACUCCCCGAAAGGGGUGCUAAUACCGGAUAAUGUCUUCGGACCAAAGAUUUAUCGCCUUUGGAUGGGCCCGCGUUGGAUUAGCUAGUUGGUAGGGUAAAAGCCUACCAAGGCGACGAUCCAUAGCUGGUCUGAGAGGAUGAUCAGCCACACUGGGACUGAGACACGGCCCAGACUCCGACGGGAGGCAGCAGUGGGGAAUAUUGGACAAUGGGCGAAAGCCUGAUCCGGCGAUGCCGCGUGGGUGAUGAAGGCCUUAGGGUUGUAAAGCGCUGUUACCCGGGAUGAUAAUGACAGUACCGGAAGAAUAAGCUCCGGCUAACUCCGUG